rnacentral:lncRNA from 1 species
UUACACUCUUUGAUUGACACAGAGAGAGAAAGAAAGAAAAAUUGAGGGCUGCUAGGUAUUAUUUAUAUACACGUCCACUACACACGAGAAGGAAGGCAGCUGUAGGUUAAUUUAUUUAUGGUGAAAUUGAGGCAGCUUUGGGGGACAAUAAAUACAAUUACACGCAUAGAAACCAAGACGGAAAUUGGAUUCCAAACAUUAAUUAGGCUGCUUGCUACUGUUCAUUAAAUAUACACACACAAAAGCCGGUGUUGAUGAUAGAUUGAAUUGGCAGUAGCUUUGAGGGAACGAUAGUGGACGGUUGGAGAGAAAUUGAAAACUAAUUACAUUCCGUCAAUUAAUCCAGUGAUGUCUUCCAUAAUCCCUUAUUUUUCCUCUUUUAAUAUGCGUAGCUAAAUUUAAUUUUAGAGCGAACAAUGUAACUAAUUUGGGAC